GGGGCGGUGAGCACGGUAUCGUGCAGGUCCAGUUUUGGCCUGGGCCAGCGCCGCCUGCGCCUGUUCCAGACUGGCUUUGGCCUG
rnacentral:tRNA from 1 species